rnacentral:rRNA from 1 species
GAUGAACGCUAGCUACAGGCUUAACACAUGCAAGUCGCGGGGCAGCAUGGGGGUUGCUUGCAAUCCCCGAUGGCGACCGGCGCACGGGUGAGUAACGCGUAUCCAACCUGCCCUUCACCACGGGAUAACCCGGCGAAAGUCGGACUAAUACCGUAUGGUGUCCAUUGACGGCAUCCGAUUUGGACGAAAGGUUUGGCGGUGAAGGAUGGGGAUGCGUCCGAUUAGCUGGACGGCGGGGUGCCGGCGCACCGUGGCGACGAUCGGUAGGGGUUCUGAGAGGAAGGUCCCCCACACUGGAACUGAGACACGGUCCAGACUCCUACGGGAGGCAGCAGUGAGGAAUAUUGGUCAAUGGGCGUAAGCCUGAACCAGCCAAGUAGCGUGCAGGAUGACGGCCCUAUGGGUUGUAAACUGCUUUUAUGCGGGGAUAAAGUGGCCCACGUGUGGGUUUUUGCAGGUACCGCAUGAAUAAGGACCGGCUAAUUCCGUG